CAAUUGGAAGUGUGUGUGGGUUUCAACCAGAUUGGCCUGUUCAAAAGUCUAUUUCCACAGUGGAAGGAGGCAGGGGCUGUGAGUGAGAUCAAGGACCACUGCGGUUGAAGAACAGCAACUGCUAUGAACUUGACUGAACGUGUGCAGACAGAGAGCAGAAGCUGGAUGCCAUGGCAUGGACUUCUCCAUAGAGAAGGAACUGAGCUACUGACCAGCCUUCUGUAAUGGAAGAAUUCUGUCCAUCAGUCUUCAAAGGACUGAAUGUCACCUGCAAACACAUGAAUGUUGAAGAAAAUCUUCCCUCGUUGAGUUGUGCCAUG
rnacentral:lncRNA from 1 species